AGACCCGAAACCCGGUGAUCUAGCCAUGGGCAGGUUGAAGGUUGGGUAACACUAACUGGAGGACCGAACCGACUAAUGUUGAAAAAUUAGCGGAUGACCUGUGGCUGGGGGUGAAAGGCCAAUCAAACCGGGAGAUAGCUGGUUCUCCCCGAAAGCUAUUUAGGUAGCGCCUCGUGAAUUCAUCUCCGGGGGUAGAGCACUGUUUCGGCUAGGGGGCCAUCCCGGCUUACCAACCCGAUGCAAACUGCGAAUACCGGAGAAUGUUAUCACGGGAGACACACGGCGGGUGCUAACGUCCGUCGUGAAGAGGGAAACAACCCAGACCGCCAGCUAAGGUCCCAAAGUCAUGGUUAAGUGGGAAACGAUGUGGGAAGGCCCAGACAGCCAGGAUGUUGGCUUAGAAGCAGCCAUCAUUUAAAGAAAGCGUAAUAGCUCACUGGUCGAGUCGGCCUGCGCGGAAGAUGUAACGGGGCUAAACCAUGCACCGAAGCUGCGGCAGCGACACUCAGGUGUUGUUGGGUAGGGGAGCGUUCUGUAAGCCUGUGAAGGUGGCCUGUGAGGGUUGCUGGAGGUAUCAGAAGUGCGAAUGCUGACAUAAGUAACGAUAAAGCGGGUGAAAAG
rnacentral:rRNA from 1 species